UUAAUUUGAUCUUUUGUUAGGCCAUCAUUAACGGCAGAACUAUUGUGUGUUCUUAUCCCAGUUAUAUUAAUAAAAAAGGAAACAGUGGGCUUAGAUCAAAAAUUUUGGUCUUGGGAUAGAACUGAUCCACAACGCAGUUCUUCUUUGUUUUCUGUGUUGUGAUUGGUUGAGAUAUUUUGGAGAGAAAGAAAAAUCUCUCAUCCUCUUCGAAAUCGAUGAUGGCUGAAGAAGUAGGCGCGCUCACAUUCCCGAUGUCGAGAGAAUCGGAGUCCGCUUCUCGACUCAAAACCAUAAUCUCCGAUAUGCUUCCUCGUUUCUCCGACGAUUACAUCGACGACGUCUUCUCAGUUCGUCAUCUUCUUUAAAUUUCAUUUUGCCUUCCUGUUCUAGAGACGACGAUUCUUAGGAGUAUGUUACAGUCCUUGUUUGUAAUGGAAAGAGUCAGAGCCAUGCAAGAUAAGAUUUGGACCCGUUUCUUGGGGAGAAAUCUCGGGGAUUUGUUGCCUGGUUUGCUGUUUUGCAUCCCUUUUCUUUGUUGGCUUUUGAUACAUAAAGGUAUUAGUGACUAACAUGCGAUUUCGACUUGUGUACGACAUCCGCCGCUCGUCAACCCGAUUCCGAUACUCAGCCAUCAGAAUCUUCUUCGUCUUCGUCGUUCACGUUCGAGAAAGAAAUUGAGAAACCCGUCUUAGUUCUGUAUCGAUGAUAGAUGCUAAGAAGGAGAAGCAUCAGAUGUAAUGGGAACUGCUGAAUGGAGAGCCAUGAAGAGUCCAUCUUACUACAAGCGUGGUGACUAUGUUCCUGGACUCAAGAACGAAACUUUCAAUGGACAUUACAAGAAAGCCCGAAGGUUUUGGUUUUAAAACUGCAGGGAUUUGAUUUUUAAAACUACAGGUUUUGGUUUUGGAAACUGCAGUUUCUGUUUUGAAUACUUUCAGGUUUUGGAUUCACUGGUGUUUUCAGGCUGCCUCUAGUUGAUGGUUGCAGAUUGUUGGACCGUUUAGUUUCAGAGUGGAGUCUGGAAUUCAGAUUGAUCUGAAGAAUGGAGCUAACCCCGUGACUGUAGAUAAGACAGUAUUUGCUAUGGAAUAUGCUAUUCAAGUGCUUGCUUCUGCCAAGGCUGUUGCUUGGUUCUCCCACAACAGAAAGAAUUCAUGGUUGAGCUUCGUUUCUUUGAGAUAUAGUAUCAGGACUUUCCACUCAAAAUGUCUAGCUUGAUCCUAUGAAGAUUGUAGUCGUCUUGCAGAGAAGUAAAUAGACAAUGUUUGAUUUUUUUUUCAGUUUCUUAUGUUAAACAGAAGAAUGAUUUAAUAGAAGGGAAGUUUACAUCUUACAUUA